rnacentral:lncRNA from 1 species
CAGCAUAGGCAGCAGGACGAUUCCUCCAGCAUUGCUUGGUUGGCAAGCACUCGUCAAACCGCUUGGAUUUCACCUGCAUUUGCAUCCCUGGUUCUGUCUCUGCAUCCCUGGCCCUGCUUUCCUCCAGCAAUUUGGAGGCUGUAGGCCCACUGCAGUACAGCAGCUCUGGGGAAACUGCUGUUGCUGCACUGUGAUGGGUCCUCA